GAGGAUAAUUCUAGGGAUCCUCUGAGGGAGAAUACAGUUGUGAAAGUGAAACCGACUUUACUUUGGAGCACUCUGUACAUACAAGAGCUAAUUAUGGGUGGAUUUGAUUGUGUUAGUUCAACCCCUAUGCCUGAUGGGAAUCUGCAAUAUAGCCAUGUUGUAGAUGCAGCAUUAAAGCUGUUUCAGAAGAUGUAUCCAGAUGAUGAAUUCUUCCCGAAGAAAAUGCCAUGGUGGAAUGAGGUCGUAGAGAAUGGUGCAUGCUUGUCUGAGGGUUAAAACUCCUGACAUCUUUAAGCUGAAAGUGCUGGGAUUUUGAAUAAUUCUCUGUUUCUGUCAUAUAGGAUAUAGAUGCUAGUAUGCUGCUACUAAGUUAAGGGGCGGUUUUGAUAAAUUUUGUGCUUCAUGCAUAUUUUGCUAGAAACCAAUUGAGACACAUCGUUGAAACUGCGAAGAAAUCUUGUGAUAGUAUGAAUAUGAGUGGCAGGUAUACUUGGGGAGAAAUCCUUCUGUAUCAACUUUUAUUCAUCACAAGCUUUUUUUUUUU